UCAUUCUGGUUUCUCUUAAGAGCGAAUAAAUCUUCCGCCUUUUACUGAAGAUUUCCGUGGAGGAGAGCACUCAAAUGAGUCUUUACUUAAUUUGAAUUAAUUUGUGAAUCCGGCAUUUGUUUGUUGGG